CCUACGGGAGGCAGCAGUGAGGAAUAUUGGUCAAUGGGCGUAAGCCUGAACCAGCCAAGUCGCGUGAGGGAUGAAGGUUCUAUGGAUCGUAAACCUCUUUUAUAAGGGAAUAAAGUGCGGGACGUGUCCCGUUUUGUAUGUACCUUAUGAAUAAGGAUCGGCUAACUCCGUGCCAGCAGCCGCGGUAAUACGGAGGAUCCGAGCGUUAUCCGGAUUUAUUGGGUUUAAAGGGUGCGUAGGCGGCCUUUUAAGUCAGCGGUGAAAGUCUGUGGCUCAACCAGAGAAUUGCCGUUGAAACUGGGAGGCUUGAGUAUGUUUGAGGCAGGCGGAAUGCGUGGUGUAGCGGUGAAAUGCUUAGAUAUCACGCAGAACCCCGAGCGCGAAGGCAGCCUACCAAGCCAUGACUGACGCUGAUGCACGAAAGCGUGGGGAUCAAACAGGAUUAGAUACCCUUGUAGUC
rnacentral:rRNA from 1 species